rnacentral:lncRNA from 1 species
UUAUCUUGAUAUUAUUGAAACCCUAGCCGUCAUUGUGUUUAUCUCUGAACUUUAACAUGGUAUACAGAGCAAGGUUCGAUCCGCCUUGAACUGUUCAUCGUUUCCGCGCUUGUGUUCUCAAAAGUUUGAGAAUGUUUUUUGCUUUGUUUCUUAUGAUCGAUUGAUUGUCUGUGUUGUUGUGCUUCCGCUGCAAAAAGGGAGAUCUUCUGAAGGUCC